rnacentral:miRNA from 1 species
UGUCAUGGAGUUGCUCUCUUGU